AGUGAACGCUGGCGGCGUGCUUAACACAUGCAAGUCGAACGGACUUUAAGGGGCUUGCUUCUUAAAGUUAGUGGCGCACGGGUGAGUAAUGUAUAGCUAACCUGCCCUUUAGUGGGGGACAACAGUUGGAAACGACUGCUAAUACCGAAUAUUGAAACAUAAGUGGCAUCACUGAGUUUUGAAAGAAUUUCGGUGGAGGAUGACUUCGCGGCCUAUCAGCUAGUUGGUGAGGUAAUGGCUCACCAAGGCAACGACGGGUAGCCGGCCUGAGAGGCGACCGGCCACACUGGGACUGAGACACGGCCCAAACUCCUACGGGAGGCAGCAGUGGGGAAGUCUUGCGCAAUGGGCGAAAGCCUGACGCAGCCAUGCCGCGUGUAUGAUGAAGGUCUUAGGAUUGUAAAAU
rnacentral:rRNA from 1 species